rnacentral:rRNA from 1 species
CCAGACUCCUACGGGAGGCAGCAGUGAGGAAUAUUGGUCAAUGGCCGCAGGGCUGAACCAGCCAAGUCGCGUGAGGGAUGACGGUCCUAUGGAUUGUAAACCUCUUUUGUCAGGGAGCAAAGGGCGCCACGUGUGGCGUUUUGCGAGUACCUGAAGAAAAAGCAUCGGCUAACUCCGUGCCAGCAGCCGCGGUAAUACGGAGGAUGCGAGCGUUAUCCGGAUUUAUUGGGUUUAAAGGGUGCGCAGGCGGCCUGUUAAGUCAGCGGUAAACGCCGGGGGCUCACCCCCGGCGAGCCGUUGAAACUGGCGGGCUGGAGUUGGAGAGAAGUACGCGGAAUGCGCGGUGUAGCGGUGAAAUGCUUAGAUAUCGCGCAGAACCCCGAUUGCGAAGGCAGCGUACCGGCUCCACACUGACGCUGAGGCACGAAAGCGUGGGUAUCGAACAGGAUUAGAUACCCGCGUA